rnacentral:rRNA from 1 species
GGAUUAGAUACCCUGGUAGUCCACGCCGUAAACGAUGUCAACUAGUUGUUGGUCUUAUUAAGAAGAUUAGUGACGAAGCUAACGCGAUAAGUUGACCGCCUGGGGAGUACGGUCGCAAGACUAAAACUCAAAUGAAUUGACGGGGGCCCGCACAAGCGGUGGAGCAUGUGGUUUAAUUCGAUGCAACGCGAAGAACCUUACCAGGUCUUGACAUCCAGAGAAUCUUUUAGAGAUAGAAGAGUGCCUUCGGGAAUUCUGAGACAGGUGCUGCAUGGCUGUCGUCAGCUCGUGCCG